rnacentral:rRNA from 1 species
UACAGAGGUCUCAAGCGUUGUUCGGAUUCAUUGGGCGUAAAGGGUGCGUAGGCGGCGCGGUAAGUCGGGUGUGAAAUCUCGGAGCUUAACUCCGAAACUGCAUUCGAUACUGCCGUGCUUGAGGACUGGAGAGGAGACUGGAAUUUACGGUGUAGCGGUGAAAUGCGUAGAUAUCGUAAGGAAGACCAGUGGCGAAGGCGGGUCUCUGGACAGUUCCUGACGCUGAGGCACGAAGGUCAGGGGAGCAAUCGGG